UGUAAGAGGUUUGCAAGUCUCCUACCACUGAUUCUGAAAGCUGCCUCCCUCUAUUUCCCUUUCGCUGUUGUCCUAGAGAUAUGGCGCUAAAACUUCCUUCCUUUUCCAUCCUUUUUGUGCUUGUCCUGCUUGUCAUUCCCCAAGUUUUGGCACGAAAAAUAGUGAAGGACCAAGGAGACUACGGCUGCCGCAUGUGUGGCUACACCUGCUGCCCAGCUGAUGCACAACACAGCGAGUCUGGAAAGAAGGUGGGGGUGGUCAAAGCUGAUGAGCAAGAAGGUCAGGGGCUUGGUGGCGGCAGAUCAUGAUGAUAUAAGCAUCCUUCCGCCGUAUAUGCAUUCUGGAUGAUCAGCAAGAAGCUGGGAGUGCUACUACUACUCAUUUGCAGUGACGUCUAUGAGUUUUCCAUGAGUCUAAGGAAGUGUGCGUUUUCUCAAAGUGUCGAUGUAAUAAGUUCCUGCUUGGAGAAUGUGGUGGCUUUCUAUUUCCAAUAAAGAAGUCCGUGUUCCUUAAUUAA